rnacentral:lncRNA from 1 species
UUGCUUACUGUUGCUCAGAAGAAGGUGGUGUGUGAAGUAUUCCAGAGAUGAUGCUGAGAUCUUGGCAUACACAACCCCCAGUUGUUUGCCUAUGAAGUUUGGAGCCUCUGUUUUCAAGAUUAAGCUGUGUAUCUCUGAUGGUUUCAUAAGUCUUUAUUUGUGUUCCUUUAGGUGAUAUCGUUGCAUUUAUUCACUUAUGAUGUCAUUAUAUGUAUAAAACUUGAUCCUGGUAUACAUAUAGGUAGCGCUUGGUUUUGUCCUUAAAACCGGGUGUGACAGGCAGGGCCUUAUGAAUUAUUUUAGUGGUCAGUGAAUUGCCCCAUCUGUUUAAAUGAAAUCAUGAUCAAGUGUUUCAAAAUACUAAUUCAUACCUAGUUGAUCGCUAUUCUGCACUGAGUAAG